CGAUGAUGCCGCCUCGGUGCUGAUUCAGGGUGCGACUGCUGGAGGCAGAGCGAGGAGACGCUGACGGACAAGUGACAGGCCGGGCUGAACAUCUUGAUGGUGGUAAUAAGAUAAACGGAAACAGAACCAAACCAAGGCCGAGAUGGAAUUACGCAUGGGAUUCAGGAUCACUUUGCUCUCGGUCAUCCUGGCGUUGACUCUUUCCGGCGAGAGGGUGGAAGCUCAGAGAGCAGGAUGUAAAAAUGUCCACUACGACUUGGCGUUUAUCCUGGAUACAUCUUCCAGUGUUGGAAAGGAG
rnacentral:lncRNA from 1 species